UUUCCCCCCCCGGGCCCCGGGCCCGUCCCGCCGCCCCCGCCCGCCUACGGGAGGCAGCAGUGGGGAAUAUUGCGCAAUGGGCGAAAGCCUGACGCAGCGACGCCGCGUGAGGGACGAAGGUCUUCGGAUUGUAAACCUCUUUCAGCAGGGAUGAAGCGAAAGUGACGAC
rnacentral:rRNA from 1 species